AUACGUAGGUGACAAGCGUUAUCCGGAUUUACUGGGCGUAAAGGGCGUGUAGGCGGUCUUGCAAGUCAGAAGUGAAAUUCCUGAGCUCAACUCGGGCGCUGCUUCUGAAACUGCAGGACUUGAGUGCUGGAGGGGAUAGCGGAAUUCCUAGUGGAGCGGUAAAAUGCGCAGAUAUUAGGAAGAACACCGGUGGCGAAGGCGGCUAUCUGGACAGUAACUGACGCUGAGGCGCGAAAGCGUGGAGAACAAACAGGAUUAGAUGCCCUGGUAGUCCACGCCGUAAACGAUGAAUGCUAGGUGUGGGUGUCGAGAGGCAUCCGUGCCGGAGUUAACGCGAUAAGCAUUCCGCCUGGGGAGUACGAUCGCAAGAUUGAAACUCAAAGGAAUUGACGGGG
rnacentral:rRNA from 1 species